UUCUAUGGCAGCUGUGCGUGGGAGGCAUUCGUGCCUGCCGGGUUUGUCUAUUGUCCUGGUCGACCAACCUGCGUACAGCUGCCACCCAA
rfam:Pseudomonas sp. 5 contig4, whole genome shotgun sequence.